rnacentral:lncRNA from 1 species
GGGCCGCGGCGCGGGAAGCCGUUUAGCGAGGCCAGCGCCCCGCGGAGCGGCGGCGGCGGCGCGGGGAGCCUUUUACCUCCCUUUCAGAGGGGCGCCGUCCUCUGCGGCCUAUGCGCUGCCCCGCGUCGUGCUUCGCGGCCGGGCGGGGAGGCCGCUCCGAGCUUGGCGGCUGGGCGGGGGGGGCAGGGCCCUCACGGCUGCCCUUGCCAAAUGGCUCCUCGCCGGAGGAGGAAGCUGCCGCCGCCGCGGGAAGGGGCGCGGCUGCCUCGAGAGACCCAACCAGGAAAAGAAUCUGAAUGGUCAGACUCUAUGUCAUGUCUUAUGAAGAAACUGGAGGAAUUGAAUUUAGAUAUUGAAGAAGCUCUGAGUGCUGGCUCUUCUCCCUCCAGUACUCCUUCUGCCAAAAGGCACAAGCUACUGUGCCCUGUUCAAGUGGAGACUGGCUUUUAUGGAGAUCAUCAAGGAAAGAGAUCUUGGAAAAAUAGAAGAGCAGGCUACCAGGAUCUAGAUUGUUCAUCUAGCCCAGUGUCAGCUGGAGCACGACCAAAAACUGAUUAAUUUGUUCUGCAAAUACUGCAGUGCAUGGAGGAGUUCUAACUGCAAAAUGGGUACAGAUAAAAGGUCAGUCUUCAGUAAGACUCCAGGGCAGUGGGAUUCAUCUAAUCUGAUUUCAGAUACCUCUAAUGUAGACUGCUACAUCUGAACUAGUCACUUGGACUCCUUGGAAAGAAAUAGCCAUGUCUAAAGAAUAAUUCAUCUUAUCUGGAAGUUACAUGAGAUGGAUCCCAUGCAGGCAUCAUAGAGUCACUACUACAUCUUUUUCUUCAUUGAUUAUUUUAGAAUUAGAGUCUUUACAUUUUUAAUUUGACUAUUUGUUAGGCCCAGAUUUGAAUUCCACCCCGAAUUCUUUGCAAGUGGAAGCGUUCAGCUCUGGAGGUUUAGUUGAGCCCUAUUUCUAAUCAAUAAUAGCAAUAUUUAUUUUUUUUCUUUACAAUGUGAUGCUGUAGGCUGUGAUCAAAGUGUGUUAAAUACAUCAGAGGAUUUCUCCUCAGGCUUUAGUUCAGUUCCUAAACAGCUCAAUAUUGUUACAUUUAUGCAUAUAAGAAUAACUUAUUUCAGGAUCAGUGUCUUAGUUCCAAAAUGCAAAUGUUUUUAUCCCUCAGUUGUAAAUUACUUAGGUGCCGGUAGUGUCUGUGAACAUCAAAUAACAUGAGAAUAGUUGCACUGGUUUGAAUCAAAGGUACUUCUAGUCCAGUAUCCUGUCUUUGACAGUGGCCAACACUGGAUGCUCAGGGAAGAAGUAUGAGAACAGGGUAAGGAGAUGGUAUGCCGUCUCAACUUCUGUUGAGAUAUUUAUGUUAUAGACACAUUGAGGCUAGAAGCUAUAUUGCAGUUUUGUAAUUGAUAGCCCCUUAGGGUCUUUUUGCCAUUAAUUUUGGCUAAUUGCUUUUGUAUUCAUUUUUUCUUUUGGUAUUCAAAGCAUCUUGUAGCAAUGAGUUCUGAAGUUUAACUGUGAAGUAUGUGAAAAAACACCUGUUUCUUGUUGUAAAUUUGCUAC